GUAUUGUUGAGGACACACAAAUUCUUAAGGACUCAGUUUCAGUGUGCAAAACAAAUUAUUCUGAAAUUAUAUUGGACUAGUUCACCAAUGUUCAGAGACUAUGGCAUUUAUGUUGCUGAAUCUCUGUGCUCCUGCCCUUUUCCUGUGUCUUCUGAAAGCUGGGAGUAUCAGAGCUCAGUGCACACAGCCAGAGGCGGACUUACCCAUUAGGCAAAGGUAGGCGACCACCUUGCUCCCC